rnacentral:rRNA from 1 species
CUUUAUUGGAGAGUUUGAUCCUGGCUCAGGAUGAACGCUGGCGGCGUGCCUAAUACAUGCAAGUCGAGCGAAUGGAUUA